UAAAGUUGGAUAUUAAAAACAAUAGUUCUAAAUCCAAAAAAUUUGGCGGUGUUUUAAUAAAUCAAGGGAACUUGCAUUUUAAAUCGAUAGUCCACGAUUAUCUUACUUUUAUUUGAAAUUCAGUUAGUGUAUUGCCGUAUUUAUAUAAGUUUAUAAUUAUAUAUAAAAAAGAUAAUAUAUCUUUUACAACAGGUCAAAAUGCAGCUUAUGUAAAAGGAUUUAGUGAGUUACAAUAUUAAUAUAAUAUGAAUUAUUAAUAAUUAAUAUUAUUUGAAAAUGGACUUGAUAGUAAUUAUAAAAAUUAAUGAAAUAACCUUUAAAAUAUGU
rnacentral:rRNA from 1 species